UACGAAGGGGGCUAGCGUUGUUCGGAAUUACUGGGCGUAAAGGGCGCGUAGGCGGCUUUGUAAGUCGGGGGUGAAAGCCUGUGGCUCAACCACAGAAUUGCCUUCGAUACUGCAUGGCUUGAGACCGGAAGAGGUUAGUGGAACUGCGAGUGUAGAGGUGAAAUUCGUAGAUAUUCGCAAGAACACCAGUGGCGAAGGCGGCUGACUGGUCCGGAUCUGACGCUGAGGCGCGAAAGCGUGGGGAGCAAACAGG
rnacentral:rRNA from 1 species